UAACAAGGAUUCCCCUAGUAACGGCGAGCGAAGCGGGAAGAGCUCAAAUUUGAAAGCUGGCACCUUCGGUGUCCGCGUUGUAAUCUCGAGACGUGUUUUCCGUGUGGCGCUAUGGACAAGUCCCUUGGAACAGGGCAUCGUAGAGGGUGAAAAUCCCGUACUUGCCAUGGAUGUACCAUGCUUUGUGAUACACGCUCUAAGAGUCGAGUUGUUUGGGAUUGCAGCUCAAAAUGGGUGGUAGACUCCAUCUAAAGCUAAAUAUCGGGGAGAGACCGAUAGCGAACAAGUACCGUGAGGGAAAGAUGAAAAGCACUUUGGAAAGAGAGUUAAAAGUACGUGAAAUUGUCGAAAGGGAAGCGCUUGAAGUCAGCCAUGCUGCUUGAGACUCAGCCUUGCUUUUGCUUGGUGUAUUUCUCGGUAGCAAGCCAGCAUUGGUUUGAGUCGUCGGAGAAGGGUACGAGAAAUGUGGCAUCCUCGGAUGUGUUAUAGACUUGUACUGGAUACGACGAUUUGGAUCAAGGAACGCAGUGUGCCUCUGGCGGGUCUUCGGACACCUUCACACUUAGGAUGCUGGCGUAAU
rnacentral:rRNA from 1 species